rnacentral:rRNA from 1 species
ACGCUCGACACCUACGGGAGGCGGCAGUUGGGAAUAUUGGACAAUGGAGGAAACUCUGAUCCAGUGACGCCGCGUGAAGGAAGAAGGUCUUCGGAUUGUAAACUUAUUUUGUCAGGAAGAAAAAAUGACUGUACCUGAAGAAAAAGCACCGGCUAACUACGUGCCAGCAGCUGCGGUAAUCUGAGCGGGCUGGCAAGGC